ACAAAAGGGCAAACUUAUAGAAAUGUAAGGGCGCAAAGCCAGAAGUCUAAGGUAGUAUAAUUGUUUUACAGUGAUAUUAUUACGAUAGUUCGGUUGCA
rnacentral:ncRNA from 1 species